UGGUCUGUGCAGGACUCAGCGGUGCGGAUGU
rnacentral:piRNA from 1 species